AAUUAUGUUGUCUCCUCCUCUUCUGAGAGAACAGUGCAGCAUUUGGGGAGCAAGAAAAGGACAUUCUGGCGGUGGGGUGUGGACAACACUGUAAAGACCAGGUCUGAUGGCACCAGUGGGUCAGGAGUGCCAGUCACGUUGUGGUCUCACCUCCCUGCGGCAGAUCAUGGAGAAGGUGGGCCCGAAGAGUCCAAGAUGGCUGUUCCAACUGAAUCUUGGUGCUUGGGAGACUCUUCUUGGAUGCCACAACUGAGCAUGAUCGUGGAAUGUUACAAGUACUUUGUGGGCCCUGGCCUCAGCUAAGGUAAUGGGAUUGGUCUUCUGAAAUGGUGGAAAGUCCAACAAAAAUAUCAGGUAUGUUCUUUUCCAAAGAAGAAUUCCAAAGGCUAGUCAACUUCUCUAGCUC
rnacentral:lncRNA from 1 species